CACGGCCCAGACUCCUACGGGAGGCAGCAGUGGGGAAUUUUCCGCAAUGGGCGCAAGCCUGACGGAGCAACGCCGCGUGUGGGAUGAAGGCCUGUGGGUUGUAAACCACUUUUCUCAGGGACGAACACAAUGACGGUACCUGAGGAAUCAGCCUCGGCUAACUCUGUGCCAGCAGCCGCGGUAAGACAGAGGAGGCAAGCGUUAUCCGGAAUUAUUGGGCGUAAAGCGUCCGUAGGUGGUCUAGCAAGUCUGGGGUUAAAGCCCGGAGCCCAACUCCGGAUCGGCCUUGGAAACUGCCAGACUCGAGUAAGGUAGGGGUUGCGGGAAUUCCCGGUGUAGCGAUGAAAUGCGUAGAUAUCGGGAAGAACAUCAGCGGCGAAAGCGCGCAACUGGGCCAUUACUGACACUGAGGGACGAAAGCUAGGGGAGCGAAUGGGAUUAGAUACCCCCAGUAGUCCUAGCCGUAAACGAUGGUGACUAGAUGUGGCUCGUAUUGACCCGAGCCGUGUCGUAGCUAACGCGAUAAGUCACCCGCCUGGGGAGUACGCACGCAAGUGUGAAACUCAAAGGAAUUGACGGGGGCCCGCACAAGCGGUGGAGCAUGUGGAUUAAUUCGAUGCAACGCGAAGAACCUUACCAGGGCUUGACAUCCUGCGAACCCCGCUGAAAGGUGGGGGUGCCUUCGGGAGCGCAGAGACAGGUGGUGCAUGGCUGUCGUCAGCUCGUGUCGUGAGAUGUUGGGUUAAGUCCCGCAACGAGCGCAACCCGCGUCCUUAGUUGCCAGCAUUUAGUUGGGCACUCUGGGGAGACUGCCGGUGACAAGCCGGAGGAAGGUGCGGAUGACGUCAAGUCAGCAUGCCCCUUACCGCCCUGGGCGUCACACGUGCUACAAUGGCCAGCACAAAGGGUAGCCAGCC
rnacentral:rRNA from 1 species